AACGCACAUUGCGCCCGCCAGUAUUCUGGCGGGCAUGCCUGUUCGAGCGUCAUUUCAACCCUCAAGCCCCCGGGCUUGGUGUUGGGGCUCGGCCCGUCCCUAGCGGCGCGCCGUCCCCGAAAUCUAGUGGCGGUCACGCUGUACUCCUCUGCGUAGUAAUCUAACCUCGCAACGGGACAAAGCGCGGCCACGCCGUUAAACCCCCAACUUCUGAAGGUUGACCUCGGAUCAGGUAGGAAUACCCGCUGAACUUAA
rnacentral:misc_RNA from 5 species